UCUAGAAAGAUGCUGGCGGCAGGCUUAACACAUGCAAGUCGAACGCUGUAGCAAUACAGAGUGGCAGACGGGUGAGUAACGCGUGGGAACGUGCCCUUCGGUUCGGAAUAACUCAGGGAAACUUGAGCUAAUACCGGAUACGUGCGAGAGCAGAAAGAUUUAUCGCCGAAGGAUCGGCCCGCGUCCGAUUAGCUAGUUGGUGAGGUAAUGGCUCACCAAGGCGACGAUCGGUAGCUGGUCUGAGAGGAUGAUCAGCCACAUUGGGACUGAGACACGGCCCAAACUCCUACGGGAGGCAGCAGUGGGGAAUAUUGGACAAUGGGCGCAAGCCUGAUCCAGCCAUGCCGCGUGAGUGAUGAAGGCCUUAGGGUUGUAAAGCUCUUUCGCCAGGGACGAUAAUGACGGUACCUGGAUAAGAAGCCCCGGCUAACUUCGUGCCAGCAGCCGCGGUAAUACGAAGGGGGCUAGCGUUGUUCGGAUUUACUGGGCGUAAAGCGCACGUAGGCGGAUCUUUAAGUCAGGGGUGAAAUCCCGAGGCUCAACCUCGGAACUGCCUUUGAUACUGGAGGUCUCGAGUCCGGGAGAGGUGAGUGGAACUGCGAGUGUAGAGGUGAAAUUCGUAGAUAUUCGCAAGAACACCAGUGGCGAAGGCGGCUCACUGGCCCGGUACUGACGCUGAGGUGCGAAAGCGUGGGGAGCAAACAGGAUUAGAUACCCUGGUAGUCCACGCCGUAAACGAUGGAUGCUAGCCGUUGGGGAGCUUGCUCUUCAGUGGCGCAGCUAACGCUUUAAGCAUCCCGCCUGGGGAGUACGGUCGCAAGAUUAAA
rnacentral:rRNA from 1 species